rnacentral:misc_RNA from 1 species
GUCAAGGGCACAAGGCCGAGGGAGGGAGAGGGAGAGAGAGAGAGAACGGCACUGAAAAUGGUGACCUUCAAAUUUCAUCAGUACCAGGUGGUGGGUAGAGCUCUCCCAUCAGAGACCGAUGAACACCCAAAGAUCUACCGCAUGAAGCUUUGGGCUACCAAUGAGGUCCGUGCGAAAUCCAAGUUCUGGUAUUUUUUGAGGAAGCUGAAGAAGGUUAAGAAG